GAUAAUGGACUUUUACUAUCUAGUCUUCCCGAACCAUAAAGAAGACUAGUUGGUCAAUUCCUAGGGGGUAUAGCAUUGAACAGUGUCAAUGCACCAUCUCCAUGGUCUCCACCUCUUCUUAUCUCUUCAAUUAGUCCAAUUCCAACAUGUAUCCUAUACUAGUUGGCACGCAGGCCUAAAUGAAAUUGGACUCGCAGGCCCAUAGUAACAAUAAUAAUAAUGGACUCGCAGGUCCAAAAUAAUAACAAUAAUAACGGGCUCGCAGGCCCAAAACAAUUAAGAGCUCGCAGGCCCAUAAAACGACAAAAUUAAAAAUUAACCA
rnacentral:lncRNA from 1 species